GUUUGAUUCUGGCUCAGGAUGAACGCUGGCGGCGUGCCUAACGCAUGCAAGUCGAGCGAGGACCGCCCGGUGGCAACACCGGGUUGGUGCCUAGCGGCGAACGGGUGAGUAACACGUGGGUAACCUGCCCCCGACACCGGGAUAAGCCUGGGAAACUGGGUCUAAUACCGGAUAUGAGCCUCCUCCGCAUGGUGGGGGCUGGAAAGGGUCUCCGGUCGGGGAUGGGCCCGCGUCCUAUCAGCUUGUUGGUGGGGUAACGGCCUACCAAGGCGACGACGGGUAGCCGGCCUGAGAGGGUGUACGGCCACACUGGGACUGAGACACGGCCCAGACUCCUACGGGAGGCAGCAGCGGGGAAUAUUGCGCAAUGGGCGAAAGCCUGACGCAGCGACGCCGCGUGCGGGACGAAGGCCUUCGGGUUGUAAACCGCUUUCAGCAGGGACGAAGCGAAAGUGACGGUACCUGCAGAAGAAGGUCCGGCCAACUACGUGCCAGCAGCCGCGGUAAUACGUAGGGACCGAGCGUUGUCCGGAUUCAUUGGGCGUAAAGAGCUCGUAGGCGGCUGUUCAAGUCGAACGUGAAAACUCGGAGCUCAACUCCGAGCCUGCGUUCGAUACUGGAUGGCUAGAGUCUGGUAGGGGGAUCUGGAAUUUCUGAGGUAGCGGGGGAAUGCGCAGAAUUCAGGAGGAGCACGGGGGGCGAAGGCGGGAUCCUGGGCCAGUACUGACGCUGAGGAGCGAAAGGGUGGGGAGCAAACAGGAUUAGAUACCCUGGUAGUCCACGCCGUAAACGGAUGGGCGCUAGGUGUGGGAGGUCAUCGACUCCUUCCGUGCCGCAGCUAACGCAUUAAGCGCCCCGCCUGGGGAGUACGGCCGCAAGGCUAAAACUCAAAGGAAUUGACGGGGGCCCGCACAAGCGGCGGAGCAUGUUCCUUAAUUCGAUGCGACGCGAAGAACCUUACCAGGGCUUGACAUGUAGGGAAAAGCCGCAGAGAUGUGGUGUCCGCAAGGGCCCUACACAGGUGUUGCAUGGCUGUCGUCAGCUCGUGUCGUGAGAUGUUGGGUUAAGUCCCGCAACGAGCGCAACCCUUGUCCUAUGUUGCCAGCGGUUCAAGCCGGGGACUCAUAGGAGACUGCCGGGGUCAACUCGGAGGAAGGUGGGGACGACGUCAAGUCAUCAUGGCCCUUAUGUCCUGGGCUGGAAACAUGCUACAAUGGCCGGUACAGAGGGCUGCAAACCCGCGAGGGGGAGCCAAUCCCAAAAAGCCGGUCUCAGUUCGGAUCGGGGUCUGCAACUCGACCCCGUGAAGUCGGAGUCGCUAGUAAUCGCGAAUCAGCAACGUCGCGGUGAAUACGUUCCCGGGCCUUGUACACACCGCCCGUCACGUCACGAAAGUCGGUAACACCCGAAGCCGGUGGCCCAACCCUUUUGGGAGGGAGCUGUCGAAGGUGGGAUCGGCGAUUGGGACGAAGUCGUAACAAGGUAACC
rnacentral:rRNA from 1 species